AUUGAACGCUGGCGGCAGGCUUAACACAUGCAAGUCGAGCGGGGUGAUGGUGCUUGCACUAUCACUUAGCGGCGGACGGGUGAGUAAUGCUUAGGAAUCUGCCUAUUAGUGGGGGACAACAUCUCGAAAGGGAUGCUAAUACCGCAUACGUCCUACGGGAGAAAGCAGGGGAUCACUUGUGACCUUGCGCUAAUAGAUGAGCCUAAGUCGGAUUGGCUAGUUGGUGGGGUAAAGGCCUACCAAGGCGACGAUCUGUAGCGGGUCUGAGAGGAUGACGCGCCACAGUGGGAGAGAGACCAGGCGGAGAGUCCAUCGGGGGGAACGGGUGGGGAUUAUGGGAAAAGGGGGGUAACCCGGAGCCACAGAUGCCGUGUUAGUGAAGGAGGCCUUUUGGGUGUAAAACCCUUUAGGCGAGGAGGAGGCUUUUUUGUUUAAGACCAAAGAGGUGUGGACGUUACCCGCAGAAUAAGCACCGGUUAACUCUGUGCCAGCCGCCGCGGUAA
rnacentral:rRNA from 1 species